CCUACGGGGGGCAGCAGUGGGGAAUAUUGCACAAUGGGGGAAACCCUGAUGCAGCGACGCCGCGUGAGUGAAGAAGUAAUUCGUUACGUAAAGCUCUAUCAGCAGGGAAGAAACACUGACCUUACGGUCAGCAGACGGUACCUGAGUAAGAAGCCCCUGCUAACUACGUGCCAGCAGCCGCGGUAAUACGUAGGGGGCAAGCGUUAUCCGGAUUUAUGGGGUGUAAAGGGAGCGUAGACUGUGCGCCAAGUCUGGAGUGAAAUGCCGCAGCUUAACUGGGGAACUGCUUUUGAAGCUGGCGAACUAGAGUGCGGGAGGGGUAAGCGGAAUUCCGAGUGUAGCGGUGAAAUGCGUAGAUAUUAGGAGGAACACCGGUGGCGAAGGCGGCUUACUGGACCGUAACUGACGUUGAGGCUCGAAAGCGUGGGGAGCAAACAGGAUUAGAUACCCGUGUAGUC
rnacentral:rRNA from 1 species